rnacentral:rRNA from 1 species
UACGUAGGGGGCGAGCGUUGUCCGGAUUUAUUGGGCGUAAAGGGCGUGUAGGCGGUCUGUUAAGUCGGUGGUGAAACUCCGCAGCUCAACUGCGGACCUGCCGUCGAUACUGGCGGACUUGAGUACUCUAGAGGGCAGUGGAAUUCCCGGUGUAGCAGUGAAAUGCGUAGAGAUCGGGAGGAACACCAGUGGCGAAGGCGGCUGCCUGGGGAGAAACUGACGCUGAGGCGCGAAAGCUGGGGGAGCAAAC